GACGAACGCUGGCGGCGUGCUUAACACAUGCAAGUCGAACGAUGAACCCGGAGCUUGCUCCGGUGGAUUAGUGGCGAACGGGUGAGUAACACGUGAGUAACCUGCCCUUGGCUCUGGGAUAACUGCGGGAAACUGUAGCUAAUACCGGAUACGACCCUCGGCGGCAUCGCCAGGGGGUGGAAAGAAUUUCGGUCAAGGAUGGACUCGCGGCCUAUCAGCUAGUUGGUGAGGUAACGGCUAACCAAGGCGACGACGGGUAGCCGGCCUGGGAGGGUGACAGGCCAGACUGGGACUGGAGAACGGCCCAGACUCCGACGGGAGGGAGCAGUGGGGAAUAGUGCACAAGGGGGGCAAGCCUGAUGCAGCAACGCCGCGUGGGGGAUGACGGCCUUCGGGUUGUAAACCUCUUUUAGUAGGGAAGAAGCGAAAGUGACGGUACCUGCAGAAAAAGCACCGGCUAACUACGUGCCAGCAGCCGCCGUAACAC
rnacentral:rRNA from 1 species